AGUUCGGCCUGCAGUCGACGAUUCUACGGGAGGCAGCAGCUAAGAAUCUUCCGCAAUGGGCGAAAGCCUGACGGAGCGACGCCGCGUGGACGAAGAAGGCCGGAAGGUUGUAAAGUCCUUUUCCUGGGGGAGAAUAAUGCGGGGAGGGAAUGCCCUGCAGAUGACGUGAACCAGGGAAUAAGCCCCGGCUAAUUACGUGCCAGCAGCCGCGGUAACACGUAAGGGGCGAGCGUUGUUCGGAUUUAUUGGGCGUAAAGGGCGUGUAGGCGGUAGUGCAAGUCUGGUGUGAAAGGCCCCGGCUCAACCGGGGAAGCGCGCUGGAAACUGUGCUGCUAGAGUUUAGGAGGGGAAGCUGGAAUUCCUGGUGUAGGGGUGAAAUCUGUAGAGAUCAGGAAGAACACCGGAGGCGAAGGCGAGCUUCUGGCCAUAGACUGACGCUGAGGCGCGAAAGCGUGGGGAGCAAACAGGAUUAGAUACCCUGGUAGUCCACGCUGUAAACGAUGUGCACUAGGUGUUGGGGGUAUGAACUCUCGGUGCCGGAGCUAACGCGUUAAGUGCACCGCCUGGGGAGUACGCCGGCAACGGUAAAACUCAAAGGAAUUGACGG
rnacentral:rRNA from 1 species